rnacentral:rRNA from 1 species
GACGAACGCUGGCGGCGUGCUUAACACAUGCAAGUCGAACGGAAAGGCCUGCUUUCCCUUGUGGAUUGCGGGUACUCGAGUGGCGAACGGGUGAGUAACACGUGAGUGAUCUGCCCCCAACUUGGGUAUAAGCCUGGGAAACUGGGUCUAAUUCCCGAUAGGACUGCAGGGUGGUGCCUGUGGUGGAAAACGAUUUUCUAGUGGUUGGGGAUGAGCUCGCGGCCUAUCAGCUUGUUGGUGGGGUAAUGGCCUACCAAGGCGGCGACGGGUAGCCGGCCUGAGAGGGUGGACGGCCACAUUGGGACUGAGACACGGUCCAGACUCCUACGGGAGGCAGCAGUGGGGAAUAUUGCACAAUGGGCGGAAGCCUGAUGCAGCGACGCCGCGUGGGGGAUGACGGCCUUCGGGUUGUAAACUCCUUUCGACCGCGAGGAAGCCACCUGGUUGGAAGGGUGGUGACGGUAGUGGUAGAAGAAGCACCGGCUAACUACGUG